rnacentral:rRNA from 1 species
UACGGAGGGUGCAAGUGUUGUUCGGAAUUAUUGGGCGUAAAGGGUGUGUAGGUGGCAUUUCAAGUCUGGUGUGAAAGCCCACGGCUCAACCGUGGAACUGCAUUGGAAACUGAAAAGCUCGAGUAUUGGAGGGGGUCGCGGAAUUUUUGGUGUAGAGGUGAAAUUCGUAGAUAUCGGGAGGAACACCAGUGGCGAAGGCGGCGACCUGGCCAAUUACUGACACUGAGACGCGAAAGCGUGGGUAGCAAAC